CGAACGCUGGCGGCGUGCUUAACACAUGCACGUCGAACGGAAAGGCCCUGCUUGCAGGGUACUCGAGUGGCGAACGGGUGAGUAACACGUGGGUGAUCUGCCCUGCACUUCGGGAUAAGCCUGGGAAACUGGGUCUAAUACCGGAUAGGAGCCAUUUUUAGUGUGAUGGUUGGAAAGUUUUUUCGGUGUAGGAUGAGCUCGCGGCCUAUCAGCUUGUUGGUGGGGUAAUGGCCUACCAAGGCGGCGACGGGUAGCCGGCCUGAGAGGGUGGACGGCCACAUUGGGACUGAGAUACGGCCCAGACUCCUACGGGAGGCAGCAGUGGGGAAUAUUGCACAAUGGGCGCAAGCCUGAUGCAGCGACGCCGCGUGGGGGAUGACGGCCUUCGGGUUGUAAACUCCUUUCGCUAGGGACGAAGCUUUUUGUGACGGUACCUAGAGAAGAAGCACCGGCUAACUACGUG
rnacentral:rRNA from 1 species